rnacentral:rRNA from 1 species
CGCGUAGGCGGCCUUGCGUGUCGGGUGUGAAAUCUCCGGGCCCAACCCGGAAAGUGCGCCCGAAACUGCGGGGCUCGAGUGCGGGAGGGGAGAUCGGAAUGCAGGGUGUAGCGGUGAAAUGCGUUGAUAUCCUGCAGAACACCGGUGGCGAAGGCGGAUCUCUGGAACGCAACUGACGCUGAGGCGCGAAAGCAGGGGGGAGCAAACA